rnacentral:rRNA from 1 species
AGAACGAACGCUGGCGGCAUGCCUAACACAUGCAAGUCGAACGGGCCCUUCGGGGCUAGUGGCGCACGGGUGCGUAACGCGUGGGAAUCUGCCCUUAGGUUCGGAAUAACUCAGGGAAACUUGAGCUAAUACCGUAUAAUGACUUCGGUCCAAAGAUUUAUCGCCUAGGGAUGAGCCCGCGUAGGAUUAGCUUGUUGGUGAGGUAAAGGCUCACCAAGGCGACGAUCCUUAGCUGGUCUGAGAGGAUGAUCAGCCACACUGGGACUGAGACACGGCCCAGACUCCUACGGGAGGCAGCAGUGGGGAAUAUUGGACAAUGGGCGAAAGCCUGAUCCAGCAAUGCCGCGUGAGUGAUGAAGGCCUUAGGGUUGUAAAGCUCUUUUACCCGGGAAGAUAAUGACUGUACCGGAGAAUAAGCUCCGGCUAACUCCGUGCCAGCAGCCGC